UAGGUUGGUUCUUCAGGAUCAAUUACAGCACUAGCCCUCUGGCACAUCUCCGCGAUCAAGUGCGAGUAUAGGAGUCCUCGUGUGCCCUUUGGCACACUGUCUCAUGUUCACAAGGAUCUACUCUUCGUUGUUAACUUGUUAGCCCUACAAGAUAACAUAUAGAAAAAAGCACAAUCAUAGAUAACUUCCGUGACGUGCUGAGUAGGAAAUAAUUUUGCACUAAUAAAGUACAUCCACAUCUUGGCUUUUAGGGUCAUAAUCGAUUGUCGAAAUUGCAAUAGCUUUUAGGUUAACUGCUUUCAAAACCCAAUGGCCUCAACCUUCGG
rnacentral:lncRNA from 1 species